GAUGAAGAACGUAGCGAAAUGCGAUAAGUAAUGUGAAUUGCAGAAUUCAGUGAAUCAUCGAAUCUUUGAACGCACCUUGCACUCCUUGGUAUUCCGAGGAGUACGCCUGUUCGAGUGUUAUGAAGCUCUCAAAACGCAAUUGGCUUAAAACCUGAUUGUUGUUCUGGAUUUGAACUUUGCCGUGUUAUAACGGCUGGUUUUAAAAGUAUUAGCUGGUACUAGAACGAAUUGGUUCUACUCAACGUGAUAAUUAUCUGAUCGUUGAGGACAUUCCUUUCACGAGGAAUGGCCAUAGUAAAUUCAAUGGACUGCUUCUAAUCUGGCUUUAAUUCUUUAUUGGAUUAACCACUUUUCAAAUCUGACCUCGAAUCAGGUGGGACUACCCGCUGAACUUAAGCAUAUCAAUAAGCGGAGGA
rnacentral:misc_RNA from 1 species